UUGACCUCGGAUCAGGUAGGGAUACCCGCUGAACUUAAGCAUAUCAAUAAGCGGAGGAAAAGAAACCAACAGGGAUUGCCUCAGUAACGGCGAGUGAAGCGGCAACAGCUCAAAUUUGAAACCUGCCAACCGGCCGGAUUGUAAUUUGUAGAGGAUGCUUUGGAGUCAGCACUGAUCUAAGUUUCUUGGAACAGUACGUCACAGAGGGUGAGAAUCCCGUUCGUGGUCGGCUGCUGGCUUCGUGUAAAGCUCCUUCGACGAGUCGAGUUGUUUGGGAAUGCAGCUCAAAAUGGGUGGUAAAUUUCAUCUAAAGCUAAAUAUUGGCCAGAGACCGAUAGCGCACAAGUAGAGUGAUCGAAAGAUGAAAAGCACUUUGGAAAGAGAGUUAAACAGCACGUGAAAUUGUUGAAAGGGAAGCGCUUGCAAUCAGACUUGCGCGUAGGUAAUCAAGGGCGGUUCGCUGCCCUGCACUUGCCUGCGCUCAGGCCAGCAUCAGUUUUGGGGGUGGGAUAAAGGCCGUGGGAAUGUGGCUCUUCGGAGUGUUAUAGCCCUCGGUGCCAUGCCGCCUCCCGAGACUGAGGACCGCGCUUCGGCUAGGAUGCUGGCGUAAUGAUUGUAAGCGACCCGUCUUGAAACACGGACCAAGGAGUCUAACAUCUAUGCGAGUGUUUGGGUGUCAAACCCACACGCGGAAUGAAAGUGAACGGAGGUGAGAGCCCUUGAGGGUGCAUCAUCGACCGAUCCUGAUGUCUUCGGAUGGAUUUGAGUAUGAGCAUAGCUGUUGGGACCCGAAAGAUGGUGAACUAUGCCUGAAUAGGGUGAAGCCAGAGGAAACUCUGGUGGAGGCUCGCAGCGGUUCUGACGUGCAAAUCGAUCGUCAAAUUUGGGCAUAGGGGCGAAAGACUAAUCGAACCAUCUAGUAGCUGGUUCCUGCCGAAGUUUCCCUCAGGAU
rnacentral:rRNA from 1 species